CUGGGAAAGAGUAAACCUUUGAGUGUGGGGGAGAGUGUGGUGAACCCGACAGUGAGAUUUUCCUGGGACUCUGCAAUGACCAGAAAAUUUGUCUGCUGUGACUUGGGAGGCAACACCAUUGUGAUUACUGUAUGGGGGCAAGCAGAACACAAGAGGUGGACCAUAUUGAGAUUACUGUAUGGGGGCAAGCAGAACACAAGAGGUGGACCAUAUUGAGAUUACUGUAUGGGGGCAAGCAGAACAUGAGAGGUGGACCAUAUUGAGGUUACUGUAUGGGGGCAAGCAGAACAUGAGAGGAGCCAUAUUCAUGUUACCAUUAUCAUUUCCUGGAUGUUAUUCAGUAUGGAAGAUAAAGGGUAUAACUUCACAAAUCUUUAGUAGUUUCUCAUGCUUUUGAAUUAAUUGUCAAAAUAAUUAUAAGAUCUGACUAUCUGGGCUAAUGCAGAGGGACAAACUCUUAUUUCAUGUCACUCGGGCAAAUGUGUCAUCUUAGUCACAAGGAAUCAUUUCCAUGGAUCCUCAUGCGUGGUGACAGACCUCUUCAGUUCAGCUUGGUCAACUGGCCUCUGGAGGGGGGGAUGAAGGAAGUGAAAGAAGUUCAAUAUUUGUGGACUUUUUCUGCUUAGUAUGGGAGCUUGGAGGACGGGGCUACAAGGUAAGUUGAAGGAAUCAGUAGAAAUGUAAGCUGGAAGGUAAGUGAUGUGAGGAUACUGGAAUAAUCUUGUUCUGCCAAUCUUGACAUGUGCCUCUGAAACACGGGCAUGGAACGAGUUAGCAGGCAACGGAAUGUAGCUCUAUACUCAACUCUCACUAUUAGGGACGUGUAGUACGUGGUAUAACAAGGUGAGAUGCAGAUGCUCCCACCUCACACACACUAUUUCCAAAGGUCAAAAAGGAGGUUAAUCGAGUUCUAAUGAGUGUUCCUUCAGGUUCACGGUUCAGAAGAAGGCUCAGACUACCACCAGGGUCAUAAAACUACCCCUGAAAAUGCCCUAAACUCCCACGAAAGUCUUGUAAAUUAAGUGUUCUUGGGCGCAGAAAUGUUUAAAAAUAUGGCCCUUUGUUCUUGCGCCUUUUUACCUUUUAUCGAGAUUUCCUGGCAUUUCCAGUUGUAUAAUCACACUCUGUACUGCCUGGGGGUUGGGAUGGCAUACUCCUCCCUUCUCCUUUGUUACUUGCAACAAUAAACUUUCAAUCAUG